CCGGGGAUGGGCUAACGGUACGCUUCCUGGCUUUGAACCAGGCGAUGAGGGUUCGAUUCCCUCUCCCCGUG
rnacentral:tRNA from 1 species